rnacentral:rRNA from 1 species
AGGACAAACGCUGGCGGCGUGCUUAACACAUGCAAGUCGAACGGUUCACCUUCGGGUGAAUAGUGGCGGACGGGUGAGUAACACGUAGUUAACCUACCGUUUAGUGGGGAAUAACCCCUCGAAAGAGGAGCUAAUACCGCAUAAGCUCUCACCUGUUAGGGAGAGAGGAAACCUCGGUUCAUACCUGGGGACUAAAUGAUGGGACUGCGGCGGAUUAGCUAGAUGGUGGGUAAAGCCUACAUGGCGACGAUCCGUAGCUGGUCUGAGAGGACGACCAGCCACACUGGGACUGAGACACGGCCCAGACUCCUACGGGAGCAGCAGUGAGGAAUAUUCCAUAAAUGGGG